rnacentral:rRNA from 1 species
UGGGGAAUAUUGCACAAUGGGCGCAAGCCUGAUGCAGCGACGCCGCGUGGGGGAUGACGGCCUUCGGGUUGUAAACCUCUUUCAGUAUCGGCGAAGCUUGCGGGUUUUCUCGCAGGUGACGGUAGGUACAGAAGAAGCACCGGCCAACUACGUGCCAGCAGCCGCGGUAAUACGUAGGGUGCGAGCGUUGUCCGGAAUUACUGGGCGUAAAGAGCUCGUAGGUGGUUUGUCGCGUUGUCCGUGAAAACUCACAGCUCAACUGUGGGCGUGCGGGCGAUACGGGCAGACUGGAGUACUGUAGGGGAGACUGGAAUUCCUGGUGUAGCGGUGGAAUGCGCAGAUAUCAGGAGGAACACCGGUGGCGAAGGCGGGUCUCUGGGCAGUAACUGACGCUGGGGAGCGAAAGCGUGGGGAGCGAACA